rnacentral:tRNA from 1 species
AGAUUAUUAGUUUAAAUAAAACAUUUGAUUUCGGCUCAAAAGAACGUGGUUAAAAUCCACUAUAAUCUA